GAUGAACGCUGGCGGCGUGCCUAAUACAUGCAAGUCGAGCGAACAGACGAGGAGCUUGCUCCUCUGACGUUAGCGGCGGACGGGUGAGUAACACGUGGAUAACCUACCUAUAAGACUGGGAUAACUUCGGGAAACCGGAGCUAAUACCGGAUAAUAUAUUGAACCGCAUGGUUCAAUAGUGAAAGACGGUUUUGCUGUCACUUAUAGAUGGAUCCGCGCCGCAUUAGCUAGUUGGUAAGGUAACGGCUUACCAAGGCAACGAUGCGUAGCCGACCUGAGAGAGAGGGCAGUCAGAAUGGAGAUUGGACACGGAACAGACGACGACGGGAGGGAGCCGUGAGGAUGGUGGGAAAAGGGGAGACGUACAGAAACAUGAAGAGAGCAUGGAAGAUGAAGGUAUUAGGAUAGUAAGAAUCUGUGAGUAGUAAAGAAAAAAGGCGUAAGUAAAGAUGCGCGUCUGGCCGGGACGGAAUCAGAGAGCGAGGGAUCGCUAGGUG
rnacentral:rRNA from 1 species